AAAGCAUCAACGGGCACCACAAGAAUGUCAAGUUUAUGUGUGCUGAUGUGACUUCACCAGAUUUGACGUUUUCACCUGAAUCUGUGGACUUGAUAUUCUCUAACUGGCUACUGAUGUAUCUUUCUGAUGAAGAGGUAACUUUUUCUAAUUUGUACCUGCUUCCUGCAUGAAAAGUUCACUAAGGAUACACACAAUAAAAAUUGAUGGCCAGCAAAUUAUUUGUGUAGUUCAAGUCUAGGAGGCAUGACACCAUGCCUAUGACAUGGUGAGUGUAAAAAAGAAGGCAUACCCAAAACUUUAACAGCCUAUCUUAAUAGGAGGAAGUAUGGCAGAUACAUACUAAACUUUGUCAACUGACACCUUAUAUUUGAAACACACGAUUGGUCCAUGUCAUUUUAAGGUCAUGCCUGUUAACUUCUGCUACAGAGUCUGCAUCUAACAAGUAACCUGCAUGUGCAUAUAUCUUAGUCAAAGUGUAGUCUCUAUGCUAGAUCUUGCUUGCAGAAGGAUGGUUGAAGAUAAAUAGUGUGCUAUACGUUGUAACCUGGAAUCUAUCCUCCACCUUCGUCCACCCAUAGUUUUUGUAACUGGAAAAUAUCAUCACUGGCUGUAAGGAACUACAGAAUUUGUCUAAAAGUGUUCCCAAAAAGCCUAUAUGAGUCAUUAAACCACUUUCCAAAUGUAGAUAGGAACAUCUAUUAUGGAUGAUGAUUAGAGUUAAAUGAAUUUCUUAGGAUCUCUCUUGCUCUUCGUACAUUUGUCUUGAAUUUCUUAUUUGACUGAUAAAUGCUUAAUAUUUUAAACUAUUUUUUUUGCAGGUGCAAGACCUUGCAGAGAGAAUGAUGACAUGGUUGAAAGUUGGGGGCUAUAUAUUUUUUAGAGAGACAUGCUUCCAUCAGUCAGGAGACAACAAGGGAAAGAACAACCCAACUCGCUAUCGGGAACCUAGAUUCUAUACAAAGGUCAUUUAAAACGUAUUCUGAUCUUUUUUUUCCCAGUAAAUUUUCCUGAAAAGAAAACAAUUUCUUCUGGGAAAUCCUUGAUAAACAAUACUUUCUGCAAGUUUAUAAAGAAUUUCACAAUUAGUCUGCAGCAUUAUUCAAGUCUUAAGUGCAUUGUAAGUUAAUGGCGAACACUCUAGUUACCACAUUGUUUAGUAAUGUUAUUCAAGUCCUUUCUUUAUGACAACAUAAAAGAUCGCUCGAAAUUAGUCACAUGCUUUUUCUUUGCUCACCUUAAACUACUUGACUAUGUUGUUUGAUUAUCUUCUUCUGAUUGUAACUUAAUGCAGGUUUUCCAAGAAUGUAAUGCUGGAAAAUCAUAUGAACUUUCUCUCAUCGGUGAUAAGUGUAUUGAAACUUAUAUAAGAAACAAAAGGAAUCAAAAUGAGGUAUGACUUUUCUAUCGUCAUUACCUGUUUUGUUAGCUAUUAUUCACAUGACAAUUAAAUCAAUGUAUUCUUGCUGCUUGUGACUUGCAGAUUUGCUGGAUAUGGCAGAAGGUUCGUUCUGAGGAUGACAAGGGAUUCCCGCAUUUCUUGGACACUGUUCAGUACAAGUCUAAUGGCAUAACAGGAGGAAUUGGUAUGCCUCUUGGAUUGAGCCUCUUUCGCUAUUCAAGUCCCUAACUCCAUUUGUGUCACUUCAUGCAAUAUACUUAAGGAUCUAUAAUUAUUACUGUGAACCUGAAGAUACUGAAACAGUUCAUUUCUCUGGAUUAUCAUUGCGGUAUUCUUGUUAGGGUUCCUUCUUUCCAGAAGCAAUAAUUUAGUCCAGAAUUUAUCUGGUAUUUGAUUAUUUUCUAUUUGUAUUUGUAUUUGUGUGUUGGAAUAGGACAAGAGCGUGAGAUUCAAAAGAGUUAUUGGAUCGAGCAAACUGCUGGACUUAAAUUGGCGGCAAUGAUGCAUGUGCAUGAUCUUGAAGCAUCUGAUCUUGAUAAAGAGGAUAGGCAUGAGGUAUAUAUGAUUCUUUCUGUAUAAUUGUUUCCAUGUUCCUUGUUGAUGUUAUAGUUUCAUACUUAGUUUGAGUGUGGAACCUAAUUAAUCUACACCGGAUUGGUUCCUCCCAUUUACCAAAAGUGUGUGGGGGUGCUUUGCUUGAGACCCCUUAGUAGCAAGUCUUUGUCUCUAAAAAGGGAAACCAGAUGCACUAAGCUCUUGCUAUACGCGGGGUCCGGGAAAAGAUUGGAUUACAAGGGUCUAUUGUGUGCAAUGCAAGUCUUUGUCCUCUGUACUAGUCACAAAUCCUGGAUCAAGAUUGGCUAUCUGCUACUUUUUCAUGCCUGUUCCUAGGGUUCAUUAGAUAAAGUGUUGUAUAAUACUGAUGGUUUACUGGUCAGAAAAUAAAGAAGAAAAAAUAACAGAAGGAUUUAACAAGUUCUGUCAAGUUGACAUCCUGGCGGCCUUAAUAGAGAGUUCUCCACUAUGAAAUAGAAUAAUAACACAUUAUUCCAAACUACAAUCCAUUUAAAUACCUCACAAUUGUUUCCUAAACGUACAAAGUCAAUAGGCUCAUAAGAUAGAUGAGAACAUAAUAGAAUUUGGAAUCAGAUCACGUGACCACGUUCAAAUUACGCUAGGAUUGACAACUCUCCGAGGUUGCUUAGCAGCCGUGCACUGGUUGCACUAAACAUCUGCAACCGGCACAGAUUCCCAUUUUUUCUCCAAAUUUGGUUGCAAGUUGAGCAUUUUGGGGUCGAAUCACAAUUCAGACCCACUAGAGUUCAAGACACAGUCAAUAUAAAGGGUUUAACUUGCACGAGUAUACUAGAUUUUCUAGUAUCAUGGAAAACUGGUUCACUUUUUCAGAAUUGUUAUUCGGUUCCUAGUGAGAACUGGCAAAACUGGCAAAAUAAGUUGGGUCUGAUGAAGGUUCAAUGAGUUUCACCUUGUAAUUUUAUUUGACCCAUUGUUCCCAAGCAUUUUUCUGAUGCAUUCAGCUUAGUUCUUAAUUAUGUUUAUUGGAGGCUUAUUCUGAGGCUUAUUCUGACGUGAUAAUGUUAAUCCUGCAUAUUAUAUGCAGCUUAUUUGCGUAGGGAAUUUGAGCUUCACUAAUUGGCAGAGGGAUUUUGAUCCAAAACCAAUUAACGUUAACUAAGUUCUGUGGUUAUGCAUGGUGGUUUAUUUUUAGUUUUUGACUGAUGUAUUUUGCUUAUUACGACCUCUCUUUUGGAGGUUAAGAACUUUUGAGUUCAUUUCUAAAAAGGUUGUAUUAUCAUUUUAUCAUGGUUCAUUUUGUGAAUUCACAAGAUGUGCUGUAAGAAACUGUAUUGGCCAAUCCACUAAACUAUUUGCGAUUUGUCAUGUAGGUGCUUUCACUGCUCCCGUCAUAUGAAGGGAAAUUCGUGUUGGAAUUGGGUGCUGGUAUUGGUCGUUUAACAGGAGAUUUAGCCGAGAAGGCUUGGGAGCUCGUAGCAGUGGACUUUAUUGAACGAGUGAUUAAGGAGGUUGGUGGCAUUUUUCCUUUGGGACGUUUGAAUUUUCUGUUUCUGUUAUAUGAACGUGUGAAUGAGUUGGUUCAUAAGAUUCACUUGUUGCUGCUUCAUGCUCGAUAAGUCAUGACAAAUUUAGUGAAUGGAUUUUCAUAUACUUGUUUAUCUAUUAAUUUGCUUCCUUGUAGAAUGAAAGCAUCAACGGGCAUCACAAGAAUGUCAAGUUUAUGUGUGCUGAUGUGACUUCACCAGAUUUAACGUUUUCACCUGAAUCUGUGGACUUGAUAUUCUCUAACUGGCUACUGAUGUAUCUUUCUGAUGAAGAGGUAACUUUUUCUAAUUUGUACCUGCUUCCUGCAUGAAAAGUUCACUAAGGCUACACACAACAAAAAUUGAUGGCCAGCAAAUUAUUUGUAUAGUUCAAGUCUAGGGAGGCAUGACACCAUGCCUAUAACAUGGUGAGUUUAAAAAAAGAAGGCAUACCCAAAACUUUAACAGCCUAUCCUAAUAGGAGGAAGUAUGGCAGAUACAUACUAAACUAUGUCAACUGACACCUUAUAUUUGAAAUGACACGCUUGGUCAUGCCUGUUAACUUCUGUUACAGAGUCUGCAUCUAACAAUUAAC
rnacentral:lncRNA from 1 species